rnacentral:rRNA from 1 species
GCGCAAGCCUGAUGCAGCGACGCCGCGUGAGGGAUGACGGCCUUCGGGUUGUAAACCUCUUUCGCCAGGGACGAAGCGCAAGUGACGGUACCUGGAGAAGAAGGACCGGCCAACUACGUGCCAGCAGCCGCGGUAAUACGUAGGGUCCGAGCGUUGUCCGGAAUUACUAGGGCGUAAAGAGCUCGUAGGUGGUUUGUCGCGUUGUCCGUGAAAACUCACAGCUCAACUGUGGGCGUGCGGGCGAUACGGGCAGACUGGAGUACUGCAGGGGAGACUGGAAUUCCUGGUGUAGCGGUGGAAUGCGCAGAUAUCAGGAGGAACACCGGUGGCGAAGGCGGGUCUCUGGGCAGUAACUGACGCUGAGGAGCGAAAGCGUGGGGAGCGAACAGGAUUAGAUACCCUGGUAGUCCACGCCGUAAACGGUGGGUACUAGGUGUGGGUUUCCUUCCUUGGGAUCCGUGCCGUAGCUAACGCAUUAAGUACCCCGCCUGGG